CUGCAAAGCCCAAUCUCGUUGUCAGAAGCUAAGCAAGGCCAGGUCUGGUUAGUACUUGGAUGGGAGACCGGAGGGAAUACCAGGUGCCACAGU
rnacentral:rRNA from 1 species